AAAAAGGACAUGCAGGUUAUAUUAAUCUUCAUGUAAGAAAUCCAGUCUGCUCAGAGUCUUUCCUGAUCCUCCAAGACAAUGUUACCCUUUUCAAAUGGGGAUAUUUAUAUUUGGAAGAAUUUGGGUUAAGAUUUGAUGUCAAAAUGCCUCCUCUUCUCCUAAAUUACUUGGCUACAUCAAUCAAAGAUUGUUACCUGAAACUCCCCAGGAGCAAGCUUGACUUCACUCAGCAACACCUCUGGGAAGACAUACUGGGUUCCAAAGGUGCCACUGAGAGAGAACAUUUCAAACCUGGUGGAAGCCGUGUCCACUGAACUACCACAGAUAAUACUCCCCUUCCACGGUGUGCAACCCAUCAAAUGCCCCAAGGGCGUAAAUUUCAUCAGCUCGCUUCUCAGACAUCUGGUAGCUUAGAUGACAGCAGAGAUUGUUCUGGCAAACAGUGUAAUUUCCUGUGAUUCCUUUGAGCUCCACAAAGGCUGACCGGGGACAAAGACGAGAGGAAAUCCAUACGUGGAACAUGACAGUAAAGACAUUUAAAAAUAGAAGUUCACAUAAACUGAAUUUUGAAAAGAAGAAAAGGUACAC